CAUUGUACAACUAAUAUGAAAAGCUAACAUUCUAUAUCACUAAAUAAAUGUGAAGAAACAAAAUCAAAUAAAAACAAACAAAAAAUCCUUUUAAUUAAGCCUUGAUCCCAAACUAGUUUGGUGAGCUAUACCAGCAUUUUUCCUCCAAUCCAUCCAAACACAAACUAACAUAUGGACAUUAUUCUCCAUACGAUACUUUUAUAUCAAUUUAUUUUUUUCUCGCAUGAUUCAAAAAGAG
rnacentral:misc_RNA from 1 species